UGGUGUCCAGACAGUUGUGAAGGGCUC
rnacentral:piRNA from 1 species